AGAGUUUGAUCCUGGCUCAGGACGAACGCUGGCGGCGUGCUUAACACAUGCAAGUCGAGCGGUAAGGCUCCUUCGGGAGUACACGAGCGGCGAACGGGUGAGUAACACGUGAGCAAUCUGCCCUUCACACGGGGAUAACUCCGGGAAACCGGUGCUAAUACCCGAUACGACCACUUCAGGCAUCUGAUGGUGGUGGAAAGUUCCGGCGGUGAAGGAUGAGCUCGCGGCCUAUCAGCUUGUUGGUGGGGUAAAGGCCUACCAAGGCAACGACGGGUAGCCGGCCUGAGAGGGUGACCGGCCACACUGGGACUGAGACACGGCCCAGACUCCUACGGGAGGCAGCAGUGGGGAAUAUUGGACAAUGGGCGAAAGCCUGAUCCAGCAACGCCGCGUGAGGGAUGACGGACUUCGGGUUGUAAACCUCUUUCAGUAGGGACGAAGCGCAAGUGACGGUACCUACAGAAGAAGCACCGGCCAACUACGUGCCAGCAGCCGCGGUAAUACGUAGGGUGCGAGCGUUGUCCGGAAUUAUUGGGCGUAAAGGGCUCGUAGGCGGUCUGUCGCGUCGAAAGUGAAAACUCAGGGCUUAACCCUGAGCCUGCUUCCGAUACGGGCAGACUAGAGGUAUGCAGGGGAGAACGGAAUUCCUGGUGUAGCGGUGAAAUGCGCAGAUAUCAGGAGGAACACCGGUGGCGAAGGCGGCUCGCUGGGCCGGUCCUGGCGCUCGGGCGCGAAAGCGUGGGGAGCGAUCCGGAUUAGAUACCCGUGUAGUCC
rnacentral:rRNA from 1 species